ACAAUGGGCAACACCCUUCUCUGCCAGUGAACAAACAGCCGCCUCCCAACUUGGCAGUGGCAGUGGCCUGGGCACUCAGGGCGCCAGGGCAUGGAGGAGGGAAGCUGGAAGAUCGCCAACUCCGCCUCGACGGGGGCCUGACUCAGGCAACUCCCACCCCAGCUCCACACCAGGGCACCCGCACCCGGAACUAAAGCACACAGGGACUCCCGGACCGGGGAGCACCCCGGGCAUUUGUACUGUCAACUUGGCCCGGCCCCUUCCCCGGGCUGGAGCGGCUCCAUCAUCACAACAAAACGCCUUGGAGGCCUGCGGCUUUCGCUCGCGUCCCUUCCAGACGCGCCCUGGGUCUAAGAGACCUGAGCCCCUUCCCCCAUAACCGCCGCCAGUGGAAGCCAGGGGAGACUUCGGGGACAGGCGGAUCGCCAGCCUGAGCCAGAAUCAAACUCCAGGCCGCGCGGGGAGAGGGAGUCUGCAGACCCAGCCUCGAGCUAAGGGUACGGGAGGAGUCUGAAGGCCCCUCCAGGCUCCCAGGAAACUCACACAUAGAAGAAAAAGAGGCAGAGUAUCGGGCACUUGGAAAAAGAUCUCGCCCGAAGUGGAGUAAAGGUACUCAGACAGAGCCCUGGAGCAGGACUGGGGGCCCGCAAAGGAGGCCCUGGAGCAGGACUGGGGGCCCGCAGAGGAGGCCCUGUGGCUCUGGCUGCGGGCAGCGCUGGAGGCCCUGUUGAGAAAGUGCAGGUGCCGCAGCCAGAGCGGGGUGAGCUGGGACUCUGCAGGGCCCUGUGUGAGCUCCUCGCUCCUCGCUCCGGAGCACAAAGUGAGGCUCCCAUCCUUCUCUCCCUGGUCUUUCUUGCUUGUCUGCAGCCCCAGGGAGGUCCCCUGAGGUAGAAAAUACUCUUCCCAGGCCGAGAGCUCUCCACUACUCAGGGCUGCUUGCCCACAUUGGGGGUCACGUUCUCAGGAAGAAGGCUGUCAAGGCCUGGGACAUCAUCCAAAGGAGACAGGAACCAAGCCCCCAACAGAGUUGCUGUGAAUAAUAUCAUUUCUGUGACGGUG